UACGGAGGGGGCUAGCGUUGUUCGGAAUUACUGGGCGUAAAGCGCACGUAGGCGGCUUUGUAAGUUAGAGGUGAAAGCCCAGGGCUCAACCCUGGAAUUGCCUUUAAUACUGGCGGCCUUGAGUAUGGCAGAGGUGUGUGGAACUCCGAGUGUAGAGGUGAAAUUCGUAGAUAUUGGGAAGAACACCGGUGGCGAAGGCGGCUCACUGGCUCGUAUCUGACGCUCAGGCGCGACAGCGUGGGGAUCAAACAGG
rnacentral:rRNA from 1 species